CCCUACGGGGCGCAGCAGUGAGGAAUAUUGGUCAAUGGUCGGGAGACUGAACCAGCCAAGCCGCGUGAGGGAUGAAGGUACAGAGUAUCGUAAACCUCUUUUGUCAGGGAACAAAGGCGGGGACGUGUCCCCGGAUGAGUGUACCUGAAGAAAAAGCAUCGGCUAACUCCGUGCCAGCAGCCGCGGUAAUACGGAGGAUGCGAGCGUUAUCCGGAUUUAUUGGGUUUAAAGGGUGCGUAGGCGGUUUGUCAAGUCAGCGGUAAAAAUUCCGGGCUCAACCCGGGCCCGCCGUUGAAACUGGCGAA
rnacentral:rRNA from 1 species